UGAGGGACGAAAGCGUGGGUAGCGAACAGGAUUAGAUACCCUGGUAGUCCACGCCGUAAACGAUGGUCACUAGCUGUUUGACUAACAAUGGUUAGUUGAGUGGCUAAGCGAAAGUGAUAAGUGACCCACCUGGGGAGUACGCUCGCAAGAGUGAAACCCAAAGGAAUUGACGGGGGCCCACACAAGCGGUGGAGCAUGUGGUUUAAUUCGAUGAUACGCGAGGAACCUUACCAGGGCUUAAAUGUACGUUGCAUGAUUUAGAGAUAGAUCUUUCUUCGGACUACGUACAAGGUGCUGCAUGGUUGUCGUCAGCUCGUGCCGUGAGGUGUCAGGUUAAGUCCUAUAACGAGCGCAACCCCUAUCGUUAGUUGCCAACAGGUUAAGCUGGGAACUCUAACGAGACUGCCGGUGCAAACCGCGAGGAAGGUGGGGAUGACGUCAAAUCAUCACGGCCCUUACGUCCUGGGCCACACACGUGCUACAAUGGCCGGUACAGAGAGCAGCCACUCCGCGAGGAGGAGCGAAUCUAUAAAACCGGUCUCAGUUCGGAUCGCAGUCUGCAACUCGACUGCGUGAAGCUGGAAUCGCUAGUAAUCGGAUAUCAGCCAUGAUCCGGUGAAUACGUUCCCGGGCCUUGUACACACCGCCC
rnacentral:rRNA from 1 species